rnacentral:rRNA from 1 species
UCAGACGAUGCGUCAUGCAUAUCAAUAAGCGAGGAAAAGAAACUAACAAGGAUUCCCCUAGUAACGGCGAGGUGAAGCGGGGAAGAGCUCAAAUUUGAAAUCUUAAAGGGUUUCCCUUUACGAAUUGUAGUUUAAAGAAGUGUUUUCUGUUGAGGUUUUGGUAAAAGUUCUUUGGAAUAGGACAUCAUAGAGGGUGAGAAUCCCGUAUUUGACCUUUACUUUCAACUUUGUGAUACACUUUCAAAGAGUCGGAUUGUUUGGGAAUGCAGUCCAAAAUGGGUGGUAAAUUUCAUCUAAAGCUAAAUAUUGGCGAGGAGACCGAUAGCGAACAAGUACCGUGAGGGAAAGAUGAAAAGAACUUUGAAAAGAGAGUUAAACAGUACGUGAAAUUGUCAAAAGGGAAGCGUUUGACACCAGUGUUGUUUUUCUGAAAAUCAAUUAAAGAACUGUUUAUGCUAAGCUGUUUAGACUUUAUCAGCUAUCUGUUUAGUUUUGAGCUUUUCUUUAAUGCACUUUUCAGUUAACAAGUCAACAUCAAUUUCUUUUGCUGUAAAAAAGCUUGAGGAAGGUGGCUUGAGAUUCGUCUUAAGUGUUUAUAGCCUCUUGCCUAUGCAGUCGGAGAGAUUGAGGUCUGCAGCGUAGAUCCUUCGGGGCUAAAUGCAUUUGUGCUGAGUUAUAACAUUUUAUAGACAACUUGUUGACUAUGAUUUGUCUUGUAGCUUACUCGCUUAUGUUAUUUUACCUACGCUUAGGAUGUUGAAUCUGUGCGAGACUAC